UAAUCAAAUCACAUAGUUUUGUUUUAAAAAGUUGUCAACCAAACUCUAACUAUGAUUUUGAUUUUCAUUCCUGGUGUGUAAACUCAUGAACCAAAACACACCCUUAAUGUCUAUAUCAACAU